rnacentral:lncRNA from 1 species
CUUUUAGGGGAUUUGUGACGCAGAGUGCAAUUUUUUAAGUGUAAGUGCCUCAAAGCCAGGCAGUAGUCACGAUGCAAAUGUGUUUGCAGAUAGUGUGAUUGGCCGGGCUUUCAAAAACAACGAGUUUGGCCAAUCUUAUCUCUUAGGCGAUAGUGGCUAUGCCUGUACUCCGUUUCUUCUAACGCCAUACUCUCAACCCCAAGGAAGAGCUGAGGAACGAUUUAAUACGGCUCACAAGAAUACUCGCAACACCGUUGAACGCAUUUUUGGCACAGUUAAACGACGUUUUCACUGUUUACAUGGAGAAAUUCGCCUUCAACCCGGCCGUACUUGUCGAGUAAUUAUGGCUUGUUGCGUUUUACACAACAUUGCGCGAAAGAGGAAGCAGCCUGACUUCGAUGAAGGGGUAGAAGAAGGAGAAUUUUUUGAAAUUAGAAUCCCUCCCGAAAACGAUGACAUAAACGAAAAUGUCAAUCAAGAAAAACUUCGGCUGCGACGUGAAGGAUUCGCAAAGCGACGAAGAAUAACACUUACUCAAUUUACGUAUUAGACGUGUUAUUGUGUAUAAGAUUGCAUCUUUAGUCUUUCCAUACAUGAUAUCGUAGAGA